rnacentral:lncRNA from 1 species
UGGAGCUUCUCAGCUUGCACUCUGCAGUUUGCGAUCAGCGAUUCAGCGUGCAUCAUCGGUGCAUGGCAGCAUGAGGUCGUAGAAUUCGCAAUAAGUUUAAGAGCAGUGAAAUACUGGACUACUAGUGAGAAAUUUUUUAGCAUUCAAUUGCCAGAUUAGUUGCAAGAGAAAAUUCUUCAGAAGAAAUGAGUUGGGAGCGAGGCACUGGUCGUCCCCGCAGAGGAGGGCGUGGCAUGCACAGACCUUUAGGCCAUGGCCCUCCCCCUUUUGCCCACAAAAUUAAGCCAUUUGUGCCCAGGCUUCCUUUUGACAUGGUUCUUUCUGAGUCUGCUUUCCCAAGAGCCAAGCCUGCACCUGAUGAGUCUGCUUUUACACAAGCUCUGUUGAAGCGCAACAACGACCUCUCCCCCACACCUGC